CUGAUGUUCUACCCAGCAUGCAGUCCUCACCAAGUAUCUCUUACAGAUUCAAAUCUUUUGGUAUAACUCUCCUCCCACACACAAGGGAUUCACUCUUUUUCAAGUAGACCUUGAUGCACCUGACAGCCAUAACUUAAGCACACCUUGAGAAUGACUCUAUAGUCUAAGAAGAAUGUGUGUUCGGAAUUCUGAGCUAAGAAAUCUGGGAGUGGCCACCCGGAGAGUCAUUGCUUACCUAAGAGAAACAUUUGAACUCAUGGCCCAUCCUGUGGAACACACACCAUAUAGGGAAUCAAGGCCCUGUGUUUUGGGUUAAAUGAAGGUGGCCAGGUGGAGACUGCUAGAAGGAGAGUGCUAAGUGAAAAUGCUAUGUAAACUGCAUGCUUUUUAUAAAUGGUAGUUGUUGCUCUGUCCAGCCCACCACCACUGUGCUGCCCUGUAUGUAAGUCCCC
rnacentral:lncRNA from 1 species